rnacentral:lncRNA from 1 species
GUGUGGCCAGAUGGUGAGAAAGGGCCCACUUCUGUCUUCACAGAAGAGCUACUUUAACACAGAGGUGAACUUGGAAGGACUACAGUAAACGAUGGUGGCCAUCAGCAGCCAUGGCAUGGAGACAUCGCCUCCUUUAUGAUACUUCCAGUCGAUCUGGGAGGUGGGGGAGGAUUUGAAAUGUAAAUGCAAGGCAGAGUGAGCCUCAUUGCCCCCUGCAGGGAAGCAGAACAGUCUGGUUUGGCUAGGUCCCUGAAGGGAGCUCCGUG